AUAGGUCCGCCGCCGGGCGGACAAAGGCGUUUGCCCCUGCAUCCGUAGGCCAUUGGAGAUGCGGGGCGCGGGCGCCUUUUAUU
rnacentral:ncRNA from 1 species